CCAACCGCAGACCUUAAGAAUUAGCUGAAAAGAGAACAAAAAAUAAAACCUAGACUAAGAAAUCGGGAGCGCCGCAAUACCCCAAGAAUGCCAAUCCCUGUAUUUCAUCUUCUUCACCCCAAUGCCACUCCCCCAUGAACGACCUCUCACCUGACCCAUUUUUUCCCAUCUCUGAACCAAUCCUUCCCCCAUUUUAAUAUCUUCUUCGUUUUCUCAAGAUAGAAAAGGAAAGAAACUCUCACACACACAAAGAGGAGAAGAUCUGAUAAAAAUAAAGAGAGAGGAGAAAAUCGUGAAAGCAAAAACAAAGAGUCUUCUUCUUCUAAUGGUCCGUUUCUUUGAGAUUCAUAUAAAAUGCACACACAAAGAUUGGAGUAUAAGGUUUCUUUGUUAAGUUAAUUUGUGUCCAAGUUUUACAAAAAAUAUAUGUAUAUAUUUCUGUUCAUCCUUCCGUUCUUUUAGUUUUGGAUUUUUAAACAUGGAGUUCAAUCGAGUUCGAGGUGUCGUUCGUAGACCGGUUCGUGAACCCGUUUGAGUUUGAUUGUUGUCUCGAGUUUUGGUUGUAGCGUUCGCACGAUUUCUGCCCGUGUAUUACUGGAAAUUUCAUCAAUUGGAAGUUCUAUUUUUAGUUGUCAUAGUUGUUGAAGUUCCAUUAAUUGGAAAGUAAUUUCAGGUCAAGCUCUUUCUCCUCUUGUUCUUGUUUUGGUGUAGAUUUUCCAGUAUGAUAUGAGCUUGGGUUCAAAGGGAUUAGGAUUGUUUUAUUUCAGUUAUACAAAAAUAGAUAAUAACAAAGAGUGAUAGUAAACAAUGAAGCAUAUACUGUUUGGAUUUGUUUGGAUUAGGUCUGCAUAAUUGGAGCUCGAACUAGUUUUGCUAUUUUACCAUUGCGUCAUAAGUUACUGUUUUUUCAUAUUUUCUUUAGUCCUCAUUUGAAUGCUCCUACUAUUUUCUUUGGAAUUGGGAGUCAUACAUGUUUUGAAUUGGAUUUAGUUUAGAUUUGUGGAAUAAUUUGUGUUUGCAAUCCUAGCAUGAUAGUAUAAAUAUUCAAUUUAUUUGGUCGGAAUGCUUGAUACUUUUAAAUGUUAUCGCUACUUGUCAAUUUCUGAACUUCUUUUAACUCAUGAGUUAUAUUAAUUUCAGUGAUUGGAGUUAAGCUUUAGUAAAGAAAAAAAAACUUUAGGAAGUAAUUGACUUAGACUCUUUAGGAGACCUUUCUUUCGUACGUUGGAAUCUAUCAAAUUAAUCUUAAUACAUCAAAUUCCAUCCAAGUCUAAAUUCCAUAAUUGUUUGCUUUACGACCAUCUCGAAUUGGUUUAGGAAUAAUGAUCAUGACAUUCGUAGUUGAUUUAGGUGCGUUAUUAUAAAAAUUACCUUCCUAAACUCGGGUGCACAUUUAUGUGACCCAAAUCCAAAUCUCAACGACGUUAAAUAAAAUUGUCGUGGACCGCGGGUGCAUUUCAUGUGGUGUGGUUCAAGAUGUAUUUUAGAUAACGUUGAAUCUUCCAAAAAUUAAUUAAAAGCGGCUAAUAAGUUAAAAAUGUACCAUAGGCUAAAACAUGUAUUAAAAUCAGAUAAUAGGCCAAUUAUAACAGUUGAGCGACCGUGCUAGAACCACGGAACUCGGGAAUGCCUAACACCUUCUCCCGGGUUAACAGAAUUCCUUACCCGGAUUUCUAUGUUCACGGACUGUUAAACAGAGUCAAUCUUUUCCUCGAUUCGGUAUUGGAACCGGUGACUUGGGACACCAUAAUCUCCCAAGUGGCGACUCUGAAUCUUUAAAUAAAAUAAUCCCGUUUCGAUUGUCACUUUAAGUUGAAAAAAAACUCCCUUAUACCCUUUUCGGGUGGUGUAGGUAAAAAGGAGGUGUGACAAUCCUUUAGGAGCGGUAUUGUUGAAACUUGAUGUGAAUGAGGAUGAAGGUAGUGUGGAGUGUAUCAAUGCUUUGCACGGAAUGGGUUCUUAUUCUUAUGAGCCCCGUAAGCUUUCUUUGGACCUUGAGAAUAGAAAGAC
rnacentral:lncRNA from 1 species